GGCAGCCUAACCCACUGCAUCACAGUGAAUCAAUUACAAGCUUUUCACCAUUUGCUUCAGCUAACUCUCUUCCUGGAUGUGAGUCGUGAUUUAAUUGAUCAUGGCAAACAUUAAUCAAAUUGUUGAAGUCCCUUGCAGGGAACUCAGGUUGGGUUAUUCUGACCUCAAAUUCACGUGAAGACAAUAGAGCUGAUUCGUGUUGGUUGCUUUGACAUCUGGACGGAGGAAUACAACAGCUAGCUUCAUUGCUCAACACUUCUGGGAUAUUGGUUUAGUAGUUGAUAGGUUUGAUAAUUUUGAGUUUUUUACAGAGUGUACAUUCUUAAAGAUGGGUGUAUUACUGUACGCAUUGCGCCUUCUUUUGUUUAUUGCUUUUUUUUUCUUCUUACCCUCG
rnacentral:misc_RNA from 1 species